GAAUUGUUCAUCCUUAGGUUUUGAUUCUAAUUCUUGUUUCUAUUGGCAAAUGAUGUUAUUGUUAACUAGUGAAAAUAGUUUUAUUUUGCAGUUUUCAUUUGUUUGGGUAUUUGUUGAUAGAUUCGCAAGGGGUAGGCUAUAUUUAACCAAUAAGGUCCAAGGAGGUGUGGUAUACGGCCAAUAUACCAUACCAACGGGCUGUUCUUUAGUACGACACAACGCUGAGUGCCUGGAUACCGCCCUUAGCAGUGACAUAUUGGCCAUAUACUACAAACCUCCAAGGUGCCUUAUUGUUAUUAUAAACAAGUUACCAACAUAAAUGACUGUAAACAAGAAAUGUUGCAUCAUACCCGUAGUUCAGGUCACGUCCCACUGCUUAGACGCUGCCAGAUCUUACAACACCUAGAUAGGUAUUUUACCUUUCAGCUAACCACAUAUGUCAUAGCAAUCUGUCAGUCGAUGACAAGUCGAUGGACACAGUCGACAGUCGAUGACGUGGCAUGCAACCAUUGGUUGAUUCAUGCAACGUCUAAGCAGUGGAAAGCAACCAUACCGUCUGAUAUUCCACGUCUUUCAGCCAAUCAGCAUCCAGAAGCCAAACUACCCAGUUUAUAAAUGUCUAUAUUAGUGAAAAGCUAUAUAAGGCUAUAAGUCAAAUUACUUCCUCUCAUGCUUUCCCUUCCUUCAUGGACACUUAUGCAAAAAAUAAAAUAAAAUUAAAUAAUGAAAGCCAUUUGAAAAUAAACAUCCUCCAUAUUGUUUUCACUCAUCCUUUGCUUUCAGAUCAGUGCAAAUCAAGGAAAGGAGGCUAAGACACAGGAAAGGAGGCUAGGCUAGGACAUAGGAAAAGAGGUUAGGCUAGGUCACAGGAAAGGAGGCUAGGACACAGAAGUCCAGCACCAGCAGACACUCCGUGCCAGAGGAUUAGUUUGCGUUCCAGGUCAUCUUUUUUUGCAGCCACAGUUUGCUCAAUAAGAUUGCUGUAUCUUAUUCAUGUGGUUCCUGAGCCUUUCUACAGUCCAGACGUUGUGACGCUCAUCUACAAAGCGUGACUGCAAAAAAGAUGACAUACAAGUUGGAAGACAACUUGAAAGUAAAAUGUCAAUUUCAAAAAAUAUAUCAAUGCAACUUUUUCCAUUCCGAGCACACACAGAUUGUAUAACUGCAUAAUUGAAUCAUUUAUCAUUUUGUACAUACCCGUGUUUAAAAUGUCUCCUUCACUCUGUGCAUGGUGCUGCACAGAUCUGCUGCAAGUUGAUUAUUUUUAGAUCAGUGAUUCUGCGUGGCUUCCUUGUUUCAAAUUUGAACUUGCCGUGACCGCAGCACUUAUAAAUAAGGGCAUCUGGAACGCGCCCUGUAUUAUGCCAAUUCAAACAUCCGGGCACUUAAUCCAUUCAAGGCUGAUAGAAGAUGGCUUCGACAGUGAGAAUUACGUCAACUGCAAAUACACUAAAUUCUAUAGAAAAUCAAACUAGCGACGAGGAUGGCCAGAAUUUAUGGUCCUCUAUUUUGAGUGAGGUCUCGACGCGUUCACGGUCAAAAUUGCCGUCUGGGAAAAAUGUUCUUAUUAUGGGUGAGACGGGGGCAGGGAAGACCACUCUCAUAGCCAAACUGCAGGGAGUUGAAGAAUACAUGAAAGGCAGAGGACUGGAGUACCUGUACUUUAACGUUCACGAUGAUGACAUCGAUGAUCAUGCUAUGUGUAACGCAUGGAUUCUGGACGGUGACCUGUACCACAAAGGCCUCCAGAAGUUUGCUGUGUGUGGGGAGAACAUGGCCGACACUAUGGCCCUGCUGGUAGUGGACAUGUCCAGGCCGUGGACGGUGCUGGACUCUCUGCAGAAGUGGGCCAGUGUGCUACGAGAACACAUCGACAAGCUCCGAGUCAACCCAGAGACACUGAGGGACAUGGAACAGAGAUUGGUCCGACAGUUCAGGAGUACUCAGAGCCAGGGGGUGACCACAGCACCUCUCCCAAGAGGAGGAACCCCGUGGCUGGGGAGGCUGAGGAGGAGUGUGUGGUGCUCCCCUUGGGAGAGAACACACUCACACACAACCUGGGCGUGCCUGUUAUGGUGGUGUGUACAAAGUAUUCUCUUUCCCUCUCUUCACUUCCCUCAUUUGCAGUGUGACAUGUUUCUCAGUCUAGAGAAAGAGCAUGACUACCGGGAAGAACACUUUGACUUCAUCCAGUCUCACAUCCGACACUUCUGCUUGCAGUAUGGCGCAGCGCUGCUAUACACGUCAAUGAAGGAAAACAAAAACCUAGACCUUUUGUAUAAAUACCUGGUCCAUAGAUUAUACGGGUUUCCCUUUGACAUGCUGGCCCAGGUGGUGGACAAAGACUCAGUAUUCAUCCCAUCAGGAUGGGAUAAUGAAAAAAAGGUUGCCAUUUUAUAUGAAAACUUUCAGUCGUUGAAAAGGGAAGACAAGUUUGAGGAAGUUAUCAUCCAGCCUCCUGUUAGAAAGUUUGUACAUGAAAAGGAACUAGGUGCGGAGGAUGACCAAGUGUUUCUCCUCAAGCUUCAGACCCUGUUGUCUAAGCAGCCCCCAGCGGCAGCAGGCAGACCAGUGGACACCACAAACAGAGCACCCUCUGGCUCUCCACGGGUGUCAAAUCGCUCGGCAACAGCAAACGUGGCCAAUGUGAUGCCCAUGCAACCAGGUGGACUCCAAUCAAGUUGUAGAAACAUCUCAAGGAUGAUCAAUGAAAACCAUAUGCACCUGAGCUCAAUUUCGAGUUUCAUAGCAAAGGGUCUGAAUACCUAUGUAAAUAAGGCGGGCAGACCAGCGAGGGUGUGCUGGCUAACUUCUUCAACAGUCUCUUGAGCAAGAAGACCGGGGAAGGGGGCGGGGCCAACAACACGCCCAGAACAGUCCGGAAGUCAGUAUCAAAGGUGGGACUUGACGGUGAGCCAGAGGCGUCCUCCCCGACCUCAUCCUCACCCCCAGCCGACAUGGAGGAGUCCUGAACCACCAAACCCUCCCCACCACCACACACCCACACACACUUGCUGGGUCCUCUCGCUCUUUAGACCCUCGACUGUCAGAUGGAUCAGAAGCUGGGCUGGAAACAGAACAGAGCGGUCUUGGAGCGGUUGCCGUGAGACCGAGCCUUGCAUGCCAAUCCGUUGAACCACCACCAAAGCAAAACAACAUGGACUUACUGAAAACCAUCAAUGUAUUAUAUAGAAGAUAAGCUCACAGGAUAUUGGAGGGAAAUGGAGUAAGUCUGACUCGUUGUUGCUUUAUUUGACAGCAACAUUAAAAUGAGAGGAACUGGAUAUCUUGCGGGUGGUCUUGAAGCCACUGUGACAAGUGCACAUCCUUGAUAUCACUCUGAGCACUGUGGCUGUCUGCGAGGAGGUUUUCAAAGUGGAGGAGAUUGAUGUUUGCCAUUUGUGGAGAUGGGUCUUUGGUAGACAGCAGGUCCAUUGUUAUGUGACGUCAUAAUGCACUGAAACACUGAUGGAUGAAGACUGCUGUACAAUCAGGCAGAAUGAUGGAAAUAGUUGGUGUUUUAGUGCUUAUAAUGGUCAUAAUCAAGGGUUCUGUUAGAACUCAAGAAUCCAGAGUCAAGGAUGAUGCUCUAAAACCAGGGAAAUGAUUUAUUCUUUAUUUUUUUUAACUUGUGUUCAUUUGCUUGGUUUGGAUUAGGGAAUAGGCAGACCUCUGGAGUGUUUUAUUGGCAUAGGGGAAUCAUCUAUCACAAUCUUAAAGUAGUCAAGUUCUCAUGAACUAUUCAACUGUUAAAUCUGCCAUUAUUCAAUAAAGCUGUAUUACUAAUCAGGA